rnacentral:rRNA from 1 species
AGAGUUUGAUCCUGGCUCAGGAUGAACGCUAGCUACAGGCUUAACACAUGCAAGUCGAGGGGCAGCAUGGUCUUAGCUUGCUAAGGCCGAUGGCGACCGGCGCACGGGUGAGUAACACGUAUCCAACCUGCCGUCUACUCUUGGACAGCCUUCUGAAAGGAAGAUUAAUACAAGAUGGCAUCAUGAGUCCGCAUGUUCACAUGAUUAAAGGUAUUCCGGUAGACGAUGGGGAUGCGUUCCAUUAGAUAGUAGGCGGGGUAACGGCCCACCUAGUCUUCGAUGGAUAGGGGUUCUGAGAGGAAGGUCCCCCACAUUGGAACUGAGACACGGUCCAAACUCCUACGGGAGGCAGCAGUGAGGAAUAUUGGUCAAUGGGCGCGGGCCUGAACCAGCCAAGUAGCGUGAAGGAUGACUGCCCUAUGGGUUGUAAACUUCUUUUAUAAAGGAAUAAAGUCGGGUAUGGAUACCCGUUUGCAUGUACUUUAUGAAUAAGGAUCGGCUAACUCCGUGCCAGCAGCCGCGGUAAUACGGAGGAUCCGAGCGUUAUCCGGAUUUAUUGGGUUUAAAGGGAGCGUAGAUGGAUGUUUAAGUCAGUUGUGAAAGUUUGCGGCUCAACCGUAAAAUUGCAGUUGAUACUGGAUAUCUUGAGUGCAGUUGAGGCAGGCGGAAUUCGUGGUGUAGCGGUGAAAUGCUUAGAUAUCACGAAGAACUCCGAUUGCGAAGGCAGCCUGCUAAGCUGCAACUGACAUUGAGGCUCGAAAGUGUGGGUAUCAAACAGGAUUAGAUACCCUGGUAGUCCACACAGUAAACGAUGAAUACUCGCUGUUUGCGAUAUACAGUAAGCGGCCAAGCGAAAGCGUUAAGUAUUCCACCUGGGGAGUACGCCGGCAACGGUGAAACUCAAAGGAAUUGACGGGGGCCCGCACAAGCGGAGGAACAUGUGGUUUAAUUCGAUGAUACGCGAGGAACCUUACCCGGGCUUAAAUUGCAGAUGAAUUACGGUGAAAGCCGUAAGCCGCAAGGCAUCUGUGAAGGUGCUGCAUGGUUGUCGUCAGCUCGUGCCGUGAGGUGUCGGCUUAAGUGCCAUAACGAGCGCAACCCUUGUUGUCAGUUACUAACAGGUUAUGCUGAGGACUCUGACAAGACUGCCAUCGUAAGAUGUGAGGAAGGUGGGGAUGACGUCAAAUCAGCACGGCCCUUACGUCCGGGGCUACACACGUGUUACAAUGGGGGGUACAGAAGGCAGCUACCGGGUGACCGUAUGCUAAUCCCAAAAGCCUCUCUCAGUUCGGAUCGAAGUCUGCAACCCGACUUCGUGAAGCUGGAUUCGCUAGUAAUCGCGCAUCAGCCACGGCGCGGUGAAUACGUUCCCGGGCCUUGUACACACCGCCCGUCAAGCCAUGGGAGCCGGGGGUACCUGAAGUGCGUAACCGCGAGGAGCGCCCUAGGGUAAAACUGGUGACUGGGGCUAAGUCGUAACAAGGUAGCCGUACCGGAAGGUGCGGCUG